rnacentral:pre_miRNA from 1 species
GUUAGGGGGAUUGUUGUCUGGCUCGGGGUCUCCGGUCGAGAAUCCUUGGCCUUGCCGGAGUUGUCGUUGACCGGAGAUUUCGGACCAGGCUUCAAUCCCUUUAAC